rnacentral:rRNA from 1 species
UACAGAGGGUGCGAGCGUUGUCCGGAAUCACUGGGCGUAAAGAGCGCGCAGGCGGUCGUUCAAGUCGAGUGUGAAAGCCCCCGGCUCAACUGGGGAGGGUCAUUCGAUACUGAUCGACUCGAAGGCAGGAGAGGGAAGUGGAAUUCCCGGUGUAGUGGUGAAAUGCGUAGAUAUCGGGAGGAACACCAGUGGCGAAGGCGACUUCCUGGCCUGUUCUUGACGCUGAGGCGCGAAAGCUGGGGGAGCAAACGGG